rnacentral:rRNA from 1 species
GGAAGUAGCAAUACUUUAGUAAAGCGGCGCACGGGUGAGUAACACGUGGAUAACCUGCCUCGAAGUGGGGAAUAACCCCGGGAAACCGGAGCUAAUACCGCAUAAUCUGACGAGAUCUGUGGAUUUUGUCAGCAAAGGAGCAAUUCGCUUUGAGAGGGGUCCGCGGCUGAUUAGCUAGUUGGUGAGGUAAUGGCUCACCAAGGCCACGAUCAGUAGCCGGUCUGAGAGGACGGUCGGCCACACUGGAACUGAGACACGGUCCAGACUCCUACGGGAGGCAGCAGUGGGGAAUUUUUCGCAAUGGGGGCAACCCUGACGAAGCAACGCCGCGUGGGUGAUGAAGUAUUUCGGUACGUAAAACCCUUUCGACGGGGACGAAACCGCAAGGUUGACGGUACCCGUAGAAGAAGCCCCGGCUAACUCCGUGCCAGCAGCCGCGGUAAUACGGGGGGGGCAAGCGUUGUUCGGAAUUACUGGGCGUAAAGGGCGCGUAGGCGGUUUGCUAAGUUGGAUGUGAAAACUCUGGGCUUAACCCAGAGCCUGCAUCCAAAACUGGCAAACUUGAGUACUGGAGGGGAAAGCGGAAUUCCUGGUGUAGCGGUGAAAUGCGUAGAUAUCAGGAGGAACACCGGUGGCGAAGGCGGCUUUCUGGACAGUAACUGACGCUGAGGCGCGAAAGCUAGGGGAGCAAACAGGAUUAGAUACCCUGGUAGUCCUAGCCCUAAACGAUGGAUACUUGGUGUGAGGGGGAUUGAAUCCCUUCGUGCCGUAGCUAACGCAAUAAGUAU